GAAAAUGUGAAAUAAAUUACACUAAUUGAAUCUUAUUUUUUCCUUUCAGACACUGUCUUUAGUCCACAUGUCAAAGACAAUUAUAUUCUCUAGAAUCCAAGGAUUUUCUUCUGAAUGUUCUACUUUGAUCAGCCCCCAGCCAAGUGCUUCACUGGAUGUAGAAGAUUUCAGCUGGGGUGGAGAGCCAGCCUCAAUUUGCAGCUCCCAGAAAAUCCUCCUGUGCUUGAAGUUUCCUUCAGUGGCCACAGCGCAAUCACAGCCCCUCAGUCCACGUGCUCUGCAGGGCAGGAGGAUGCCAGGGAGCAGCAGGGCUGGAAUUCAAUCUGGAACGUGCAGAGGAGCCCAAGGAGGCAUUGAGGCACAAAACCUUCAAUAAUGACCAGCACAACAGCCCCAGCUGCAGAGCAGCCUUUGAUCCGUGGUAUGCUCCCAGGGAAUGCUUGUUAAGGGAAGAGGGACUUCUGUUUGCAUCUGCUGCAGUCGGCCCAAAGCAGAUUAAACACUGAGCAAAACUGGCCAGAUCUUGCAUCCUGAUGCUCACAGGUAAGUGCUCCUUUGUAAUGAGAGGUG
rnacentral:lncRNA from 1 species